rnacentral:rRNA from 1 species
AUUGAACGCUGGCGGCAUGCUUUACACAUGCAAGUCGGACGGCAGCACAGAGAAGCUUGCUUCUUGGGUGGCGAGUGGCGCACGGGUGAGUAACAUAUCGGAACGUACCGAGCAGUGGGGGAUAACUAAUCGAAAGAUUAGCUAAUACCGCAUAUUUUCUGAGGAAGAAAGCAGGGGACCUUUGGGCCUUGCGCUGUUUGAGCGGCCGAUAUCUGAUUAGCUAGUUGGUGGGGUAAAGGCCUACCAAGGCGACGAUCAGUAGCGGGUCUGAGAGGAUGAUCCGCCACACUGGGACUGAGACACGGCCCAGACUCCUACGGGAGGCAGCAGUGGGGAAUUUUGGACAAUGGGCGCAAGCCUGAUCCAGCCAUGCCGCGUGUCUGAAGAAGGCCUUCGGGUUGUAAAGGACUUUUGUCAGGGAAGAAAAGGGCGGGGUUAAUACCCCUGUCUGAUGACGGUACCUGAAGAAUAAGCACCGGCUAACUACGUG